rnacentral:rRNA from 1 species
CAGUCGCCGCGGGAAAACGGAGGGUGCAAGCGUUAAUCGGAAUUACUGGGCGUAAAGCGCACGCAGGCGGUCUGUCAAGUCAGAUGUGAAAUCCCCGGGCUUAACCUGGGAACUGCAUUUGAAACUGGCAGGCUAGAGUCUUGUAGAGGGGGGUAGAAUUCCAGGUGUAGCGGUGAAAUGCGUAGAGAUCUGGAGGAAUACCGGUGGCGAAGGCGGCCCCCUGGACAAAGACUGACGCUCAGGUGCGAAAGCGUGGGGAGCAAACAGGAUUAGAGACCCCAGUAGUCCCUGUCUCUUAUAA